UGGAAGCUUAUAUGUUGCCCCCUGGUAUCGU
rnacentral:piRNA from 1 species